CGUAGGUGAACCUGCGGAAGGAUCAUUAACAAAUCCUAGCCGUUGUCGUCUCUGUGCGGCGAUGGUAAAACACCGUGCACUGGCAAUCGGAGACGGGAGAGUCUCCGCUCGGUUCUCAGGAGGUGUGCGGCCGGCAUGGAAUGGGGCGACGCACUUAAAUCGGUGGAAGCCAAUCCACACUGUCCACCGGGCCUCAACCGAGUUCUCCCGUCUUUGGUUUUUUCUGUUGAACACUUUUUGUGACUUUGUUGUAUUCUUGGUAUGUUGCGUUGGUUGUAAAAGUUUUGACAACUUCUGACGGUGGAUCUCUUGGCUCGUGCAUCGAUGAAGAACGCAGCAAGCUGCGAUAUCUAGUGUGAAUUGCAGAAUUCAGUGAAUCAUCGAGUCUUUGAACGCAAAUGGCGCUCCCGGGGUCUCCUCGGGAGCAGGUCUGUCCGAGCGUCUGCCACCCCGACAGGCCGUCACCCCACCGGUGACGGGAUUGAGGAGCUGCACAAUAAUAGCAAGGUUGUAUUKUGGUGCACUCCUUGAAGAAGGCAAGUCUGUGUUGUGAAUGUUGGGCCUCGACGGUGUCACCACGAGACAGUUGUCACAACAUUGUGGCAAGUUGUUUCGCUGUUUCUCGUGGAGCGCGCUGCUGGCCCACUUUAGCCAACCAGUGUCAGGAAACG
rnacentral:misc_RNA from 1 species